rnacentral:lncRNA from 10 species
GGGAACAGAACCCGCCCUGGCACGGACAGCAGGCAGCCCGCAAUGAGGUUAGUGGGAAUCUCACCCUGGGGUCACAGAACUGGGGCAGCCAGCCUUGCCAAAGAGGAGCUGGAGGCUCCUGGUGUAGGGGCCUCCCCUCCUCCCAGCCCGAGAUGAGACCACCAGGAGGGGAGGCAUGGACCGUAUUCCUGGCAACAGGUCCAGGGGACACCCGGUGAGGGGCAGGCCCCCCGCCCCGCCCCAACAGAUGCUCCUGGGCCUUCUGGAGGAGGGUGCAGAACUCAAGGGCAGUGGCCACUGCUUUGCUGCCUUCGUGUGAGGCCGUGAGGUCUACUCGUGAAGCCCACUCAGUUGACGGCCACAUGUCCCACCUGAGGUGCAAGUGUUUCCUUGGUGAGAGCUUGUGGCUGUGACCCCCACAAGGAAGCAUGGUGCCACCGUUCCUGCAUAAGAAACAGCUGAGUGCAUACCAGACCCCGAAUAUGAUUCCACCAAGGCAGCCAGCCCCAUCUCCACGCCAGGCCCUCUCCUGUCCUGCCUGGCCAUGCUCUGACCUCUCAUGCCCAGUCUGGCUCCUGUCCGCUCGUCCAUGGCUGCCUGGAUCCCGGGCCCCUUGUCCCUGAGCUGUGUCCCCUUCUUCCUCAUCGGGAGAGGUCCACUCGCCUGCCUUUGGGGUCUCUACUGCCCGGUGAGGUCUGGGAUGCUGCAUCCUGGCUCCUGAUUUAUGCCACACAGCCACACCGUCACCUCAUCGCACGGUGUUAUGGAGACUCUGCAUUAGCAGUGAAGAUGUAACACGUGCAAGGCCCUGGAACUAGAAAAUGGGGCAGGAGGAAUCCUACAGGGGACACCCGAAAGCCCAGCACCCGCAGUAAACUUCUGCUCCUCACAGCCAGCCUGGGAGGGACGUCGACAAGGACACCGUGCUGUGGGGCAGAGGCACCAGCCUCGCUGCUGGACUGGCCCUGGGGAGGCUGGUCCCACCAUGCAUGGUGAGAAUAAAAAUCCUGUCCUCCAAAUUCAAGAAAGGACACACCUGACGGUUCUUUGGCCUUAGAAGCUGUGAACAAGUAAAACACAAAGGUGACUUAAGCCCCGUCCCAAUGGGUCAGCGACGACACUUCAGAAGCUUCUGAAAGGUGGGACCUUGCCCUUACCAGAGCGCCCUGCAGGGAUCACGCCCCCCUUGCUUCUGAACCUUUGCUGGUUCUGGACUCCACGCUUCCUCAAAGGCUGGGCAAUAUCUGCUUUUCGCUGUGUUCAGAGACCGUGCCUUGGAGAUACAGCUCUCUACUGUGCAAGUAAUAAUUCCCCUUCAUUUCAGAUGCUGGAAUUGAUUUCCUCCUUCCACAAUGGCGGGGGGAGGCCAGCCAGGUCACACUUUCCCAGGAGCCAGGCCAGCUGAUGGACCCAGGAAGCUGGAGUUGGAGGGCAGCGGAGCCCCACAGGCUCUUCUGUGCACUGGGAGCAGGGCCCCUGGCUGAGCCAGCAGGACAGGAUGGGCUCCAACCUUAGGGAACAGGAGCCACACCAAGUGAGAGCAAUUCAGGUGCUGGACCUCAAGCCUCAGAGAGGAUUCUGCUUUUCCUGUAAGUUCAGGGAUCUUCUGUCACCUCCCCACAAUGUCGAUCCACAGAGCUGCAUACAGCAGCUCAGGCCUGGCACACAUCGGGCCGGCCUCCUGUCUUCAAGACUCCAUCAUCACCUCCUCCGGGGACCUGUCCCAAGCAGCCCCAGGUCUGUCCUCCUAGGGCCCACAGCCACUUGAGGUACAGCGUCCGCGCAGCUUCCUCACUGUUCCUGCCAGACAGCCAGCGCCGUCCCGACAUGACCAGUGCCCAGCAUGGCCUGGCACAGCCCAGAGGCACUGUCCAUGCUGCUGGGCACGGAUGUCACCAAUGGCUGGGUGGGCUGCACGGCCCUGAAGGCAAAGUUCCAG